AUGUGUCCCACCAAGGACCCCUUCGCCCCACCUGAACUUCGGCUCUGCGGCCAGGAGGCAAUGGAGUGUGGUAACACACCAAUUGAAGUUGCUGCCUCUAAAGGCAGUAGGGACAUGGUUGAAAUGUUAUUCCCUUUAACUUCUCUUGUUUCAACGCUGCCGAACUGGAGUAUUGAUGGAAUCAUUUCUCAUGUGAAACACUUUGGUUUGAAGCCGAUGGAUAAGCAAAAAUGUGCGAAGAUAAGAACUGAACUAAAACAGAAAGCUUCAGAGGCAUUUAAGGAAGGGAAAUAUUAUGUGGCAUCAGAGAUGUAUACUGGUGCAAUGGCAUUUGACCCUAGUCCAGAUGAUUGUGCGGCCAUAUUGGCAAAUAGGAGUCUCAGUACGUUGCGCGGUGGGAAUGGAAGAGCUGCUCUCUCUGAUGCUACCAUGUGCAGGAUGGCGCGACCUCUUUGGCCAAAAGCUUGCUAUCGAGAAGGCGCUGCUCUUAUGUUAUUGAAGAAGUACGAGAGAGCAUGCGAGGCUUUUGUGGAUGGCUUGAAGCUUGACCCUACAAAUGGUGAUCUUGCAAAUGCUUUAAGUGCAAGUUGUACACAGAUUCUUGACAAUUCUCAUGUUCAAAAUAUUUUGGUCGCAGGGAAGCCCAAGAAGCAGCAAAGAAUGCUCGUCGCCGUGAAAAGUGACUGA
rnacentral:rRNA from 1 species